ACCUGACUGGCUCAGUUGGUAGAGCACGUGACUCCUGAUCCUGGGGUUGUAAGUUUGAGCCCCACAUCGGGUA
rnacentral:tRNA from 1 species